AAACAUACCGUUUAAACAUCUAGAUAUGCCGUUUAAAUGUCUAGAUAUGUUUGGUGUGUUAGAUGCAAUUUCGAGAAGUAAUUUUAGAGAACGAUAAUGAUUAUUUGCGUAAUUUGUGUUUAUAAUUUGUGAUUAGUGAUUUAGUGAUUUGUGAAUCAGUUUUUGUGCAAAAAGUAAAAGUGAAUUUAGAGUGGAUUUAAAAAGAAAAAGCUGAUGAGAAAUUUCCUUUUCUGAGAGAAUAAUUGACUUAUAUAAAUAUAUAAGUUUCUUAUUUUUUUGAAAAAGCAUUUUGAUCUUAGCUCUGUUUCAGGUGUAGCUGUAAUCUGGAUUUUAAAUUAUAUUUUAUAAAUAUCAUAAGAUAUCAUAUCUAUAAAGAUGGGUAGCAAAAAACUCCAUGGUGUGCAAUAUCAGAAUGUAUGUCAACAUUGGAUGUAGAGAAACGUUUCCUUUUCAGAUUUCCUAAGAAACAUGAUAGAUGAUUGCAAUAGGUGAAAGCAUGCAAAAAGAUGGAUUUAAAACCAAAAGGACCAGAAUAUGCUUACCAAAAUUGCAGAUUGUGCCAUUUACAUUUUGAUAAAAAAUGAUACAAAUUAAAUGAAAGUAGAGCUCGUCUUCCUGAUGCCAUCCUAAUAAUAUUUUUUGGAUCAGGUUUUAACAUAGAAAAUGAUAUAACAAAUAAAAUAGAAAAAUAACAUG